rnacentral:rRNA from 1 species
CGCAUCUGUGCAUGCAGCAUAUCAAUAAGCGGAGGAAAAGGCUGCAGAACUGAACGACCGCUACCUACGCUUAGGAUGUUGACGCGCGUGUGUGCGUGAUCUAUACAUGACUCUGUGCAUAUCAAUAAGCGGAGGAAAAGUAAAUGCUGUAUACCUACGCUUAGGAUGUUGACGCGCGUGUGUGCGUGAGUCUAUACAUGACUCUGCGCAUAUCAAUAAGCGGAGGAAAAGAAACUAACAAGGAUUCCCUUAGUAACGGCGAGUGAAGCGGGAAGAGCUCAAAUUUGAAAUCUUCAAGGUUUUACCUUGACGAAUUGUAGUUUAAAGAAGUGUUUUCUGUUGAAGUUUUGGUAAAAGUUCUUUGGAAUAGGACAUCAUAGAGGGUGAGAAUCCCGUAUUUGACCAUUAUUUUCAGCUGUGUGAUACACUUUCAAAGAGUCGGAUUGUUUGGGAAUGCAGUCCAAAAUGGGCGGUAAAUUUCAUCUAAAGCUAAAUAUUGGCGAGAGACCGAUAGCGAACAAGUACCGUGAGGGAAAGAUGAAAAGAACUUUGAAAAGAGAGUUAAACAGUACGUGAAAUUGUCAAAAGGGAAGCGUUUGACACCAGUGUUGUUUUCUCGAAAAUCAAUUAAAAAGAGUUUAGAUUUUGUUGUGUAUUGACCUUAACAGCUUGCAUUUCAAUUUUCUUGCUUUUUUUAAUGCACUUUUCGUUUAACAAGUCAACAUCAGUUUCUUUUGUUGUAAAAAGGUCAUUGGAAGGUGGCUUUCUUUUCGGAGAAAGUGUUUAUAGCCUUUGACUCCUGCAAUCGGAGAGACUGAGGUCUGCAGCGUAGAUCCUUCGGGGUUAGAUACAUUUGUGCUAAGUUAUAGCUUUUUCAUAGACAACUUGUUGACUAUGAUUAGUCUUGUAGACUUACUCGCUUAUGCUAUUUUACCUACGCUUAGGAUGUUGACGCGCGUGUGUGCGUG